rnacentral:rRNA from 1 species
CAGCCGCCGCGGGAAUACGGAGGGUGCAAGCGUUAAUCGGAAUUACUGGGCGUAAAGCGCACGCAGGCGGUCUGACAAGUCAGAUGUGAAAUCCCCGGGCUUAACCUGGGAACUGCAUUUGAAACUGUCAGGCUGGAGUCUUGUAGAGGGGGGUAGAAUUCCAGGUGUAGCGGUGAAAUGCGUAGAGAUCUGGAGGAAUACCGGUGGCGAAGGCAGCCCCCUGGGCCAAUACUGACGCUCAUGCACGAAAGCGUGGGGAGCAAACAGGAUUAGAUACCCGCGUAGUCCCUGUCUCUUAUAC